AGAAGAAGAAGAAAACAUGGGUGGCGGGGUCUACUAAUUGAUUAUAGUCUUUGAUAUUUUGUGUGUGUGGUGAACAAUUGUUGAGUCGGUGGUUUUGCCUAUCAAAUAAGUUUGUGACUUUGGUGCAAAGGCAAACAGAAAGAGAGAAAAAUAGAGUGAAGAUAGAGAGAGUGCAUAGAGAGGGCCGAGAUUAAGGAGGGAUAGAGAGUGAGCUGAGAGUCUGCGGAGGAGGCUGGAGGUUUAAGGACUUGGUGAUACAGUGAGAAAAUUCUUUUUCAAUGACUUUUUGUCUCAUCACCCUCCAGUUUCGGGUACCGAAGAUGAACGGGAUUGCUAGAUUCGGGCUUAGGCUGAAGAGUUGGUGUUGCGAGAUUUAAAUUUUUUUUUAAUUUGGAGAAUUUUUGUAUAUUUGAGGAAAUUGAUUUUGUAUAAAAGAGAGGGCAAUUUUUAUGAUCCUAGUGUAUUUUGAUGUAUUUGGAUUUGUAUAAAUCAAGAAUUUUAUUAAAAAUUUUGGGUCGUGACAAAAUGGUAUCAGAGCCUGCACCCAGCCGGAAGUGUGAGUGUAGUGAUGAUGUAGACGGGUGUGAGUGGGCAAGUGUGUAGUACUGAUCAGCUAUCACUCGUAGCCGGGUGUGUGUGAGAGGAUGGCGUUCACUGGCAGUUACAAGGAUGGUUGGUUAGUGUGAUUGGGCAGGUAGCCCAGAUUUGUUAUUGUUUGUUUUUUUUUUAGUAGGCGGAUGACACAUCGACUAGCUACCACAACAGUUACGAAGUGUGUGGGCGGGUGACUAGCACUGGCAGCUACCACAACGUCCUACAUAUCGUGGUAUCUCACAUCGCUUAGGAUAAGGAUUUAUGGAUUUUGUUUUGUGGUUAUUAGUGUUUUCGAGUAUACGGACGGUUGGAUCUGAAUUUCGAGGACAAAAUUCUUUUUAAGUGGUGAAAAUUGUAAUAACCCGAAUUUUUAAGAUUUUAAUUUAAUUUAUUUCAUGAUUUUUAAGUUGUCAUAGUUGAUUAUUUAUUUAUUUUUAUUGGAGAUUUGCCUACUAGAAUUAUUUAAUGAGUUGUUGGUUUGUUACAUAUUAUCAAUAUAUAUAUUUAUAUGGUACCUGAUGGGAUAAGAAGUGGAGCAGCGAAAUGGGAUAAAAGAAUGUUGUAUUGGCACGGGUCCCACUUGAAUGUUAUUUAGGGAGAUUGAAUUUGAUUUUUGUAUAAAUGUGAUAUAUAUAUAUAUAUAUAUAUAUAUAUAUAUAUAUAUAUAUAUUGUGUGCUCUGUAUAUCAGAUGGAGAAGGAAAGAAAGCAGUAACCGUAAGUUGAAGGAGGAAAAAAAAUGAAAUGGAAAUGUUACUGCGGGUCCCACGUGAGAAAGAGAUUUGGUUUUUUGUUGCAUCUUUAUAUAUAUUAUAUAUAUAUAUAUAUAUAUAUAUAUAUAUAUAUAUAUAUAUAUAUAAUUUGUAUCGGAUGGGACAAGGAAGCAAGGCUGAAAAGAAAAGGAAAGAAGGAAAAGCUAUAAUGAUUUCAUGGGUCUCAUUUGUUGCCAAAAGUCUUUGGCUUCACGUGGGUUGUUUGGGUGAAUUGAUUUGGUUAUUGUAUAUAUGUUGUGUCUGUUGAAAAGAGAUGGCAGGCGGGCCUGCCGAAUUGAUGGCGUGAAGAUACGGAAUGAGAAAAGAAGGAGAAGAAAGCAUGGUGGCGGGGUCCACUAAUUGAUUAUGGUCUUUGAUAUUUUGUGUGUGUGGUGAACAAUUGUUGAAUCGGUGGUUUUGCCUAUAAAAUAGGCUUGUAACUUUUGUGCAAAGGCAAAUAGAAAUAGAGAAAAAUAGAGUGAAGAUAGAGAGAGUGCAUAAAGAGGGCCGAGAUUGAGGAGGGACAGAGAGUGAGCUGAGAGUCUGCAGAGGAGGCCGGAGGUUUGAGGACUUGGUGAUAUAGUGAGAAAAUUCUUUUUCAGUGUAGGGUUCUCUAUACCUUGAAUAGCUUAGAGUGGUUUUACCUCAAUGGUUUUUUUAUUAAAUGUUUUGAUUAAAUGCAUAUUUAUUUUGUUUAUAUACUCAUAUGAAUAUGUAUAUUUUGGGAAGCCGCUUUAUUAAACCUCCAUGAAAUUCUUGUUACGGUUUUUCCUGGGACUUUUUGUCUCAUCACCCUCCAACUUCAAGUACUGAAGAUGAACGGGGAUUGCUAGAUUCGGGCUUAGGCUGAAGAGUUGGUGUUGCGAGAUUUAAAUUUUUUUUUUAUUUGGAGAAUUUUUGUAUAUUUGGGGAAAUAGAUUUUGUAUAAAAGAGAAGGCAAUUUUUAUGAUCCUGAUGUAUUUGGAUUUGUACAAAUCGAGAAUUUUAUUAGAAUUUUCGGGUCGUGAUAGCAUUGGUCCAGUUGGGAUUGUCUUUGUAGGAGCAAACAAGAAGGAAGGUUGGGUUUUCGAGAUAUAGAGGCAUAUAAUGUGGCUAUGCUCUCCAAGCAAGCAUGGAAUUUUCAAGUAACGAAACAAGGGCUGGCGUUUCAAUUAUAUAAAGCGAAAUAUUUUAGUAACUGUUCUUUUCUUUAUGCCUCGUCGGGAAGUAAUCCAUCAUGGGGUUGGCGUAGCAUUUGGUCUGCACAACCCAUUAUUAAAAAGGGCAUGAGAUGGUUGGUGGGCAAUGGGAAAAUGAUUAAUAUAUGGAAAGAUGUGUGGAUACCAAAUUCUUGUUGCCCGUUUGCCCCUCAGGUUGAGAUUCCAUCAGUGCAUGUGGUUGCGGAUCUUAUUGAUGAGGUGAAUCAUUCAUGGAAAGUCUCUAUCCUUGCUCAAUAUUUCCAAUCGGAUGUCGUGGAGGCCAUUUUGUGAAUUCCAAUUAGCUUGUAUGGGCGUGAAGAUGUUCAAUGUUGGUCACCCACACCGUCCAGAGAUUUUUCUGUUAAAAAAGCAUAUCAUAUUGCUUUUAAGAUGCUCUCACAGAUCUCUAGUCAUAAUAAUAGUGUUUUGCAGUCUAAUAUUGAUUCUCAUUGCUGGCAGUCAAUUUGGCAAUGUAAUAUUCCUUCAAAAGUGAAACAUUUUUUGUGGUAAUGUUGCCGGGGAGUGUUGCCCACCAACGAGGUACUUAAUAACCGAGGUCUUUCUUAGGAUCCGGUUUGCCCAUGUUGUGGUGGAGAAAACGAAUCGAUGGAGCAUCUCAUGUUCCGUUGUCCUUUCGCUCUUCAUGUAUGGAAGUUGUCCCCUCUUCGAUUUGAUUUUGUCUCAUUGUCUAUUUCAUUGUUUGCAACAUGGUGGAGUUCAUUGGGUCAUGGAACUGUAGGUGGGUCUGCUAGAUUGGAGCUAAGAAGCUUGUUUGCUGUAUGUGUUUGGGCCAUCUGGAAGGCAGGGAAUUGAGUGGUUUUUUUAUGGCAAAUGCUCCAGCUGGCAAUAUGUGGUUCGGAAGGCAGUGGCUGAUUAUUGGGAGUUUUUGGAUGCUAAUGUUAAUAGUCCAGAAAUUAUUGAAGUAGUUCAGUUGGAUGGUGUGGUUUCAGAGCAUGAUGUAUGGAUCCCUUCUCCAAACAAACGUGACAAAAUGUAAUGUUGAUGCCUCUUUUUUGGCUUCCAAAGGCUUGGCAGGAGGUGGAAUCAUUUUCAGAGACAACAAUGGGUAUCUCUUAAAGCUUGUGAUUCUUAAGCAGUUCCCCACGGCAACACUGCUUAUGGCAGAGGCUUGGGUGUUGCGGGUUGCAGUGUAGUGGGCUCAAUGAUUCAACUUUUAUAGAGUAUGGUUUGAAAGUGACUCUCGUGUUGUGUGUGACGCAGUUAAUGAUAGGCAGACUUGUCAUUUUCAUAUUUCAUCCAUUGUUUUUGAUAUUAAGUCUGUCUUCCAAUACUUUCCGGAAGUGAAAUUAUCUUAUGUUAGAAGGGCAGGGAAUCGUUUGGCUCAUGAAACCGCUACGCUUUCAACGUCCCUUCUACCUGGGGAUCAAGUUUUGCAAGAACUUCCGGUGCAUUUGUUUCAGUUGGCAACUUUGGACUUUGGACUGCUCUCUGUUUUCUCUGUAAUGUGUUGUGGUGUUCUGUUUUCUUGCCUUGUAAAAAAUAAUAUAUAUUUGAUAGAAUAAUAUAUAAAGAAAACAACAAUAGUAAAUUAAAUUGAAUAAAA